GACGUAGCAAUAUGCUUUUCGUUCUCGCGAUUCCGGUGUUAUCCAUCGUGACAUGGGCAUCCGCGCUGAUCGAUCCGUUAUCAGAAUUACCAAAAUUCGGGAAAACGUCUGAACAAUCAUACAAGGAAACAAGUCGAGUGGUUUAAAUCAAAA
rnacentral:lncRNA from 1 species